CGGCGAAAGCCGGAUUAAUACCGCAUACGCUCUGAGGAGGAAAGCGGGGGAUCUUCGGACCUCGCGCUCAAGGGGCGGCCGAUGGCAGAUUAGCUAGUUGGUGGGGUAAAGGCCUACCAAGGCGACGAUCUGUAGCUGGUCUGAGAGGACGACCAGCCACACUGGGACUGAGACACGGCCCAGACUCCUACGGGAGGCAGCAGUGGGGAAUUUUGGACAAUGGGGGCAACCCUGAUCCAGCAAUGCCGCGUGUGUGAAGAAGGCCUUCGGGUUGUAAAGCACUUUUGUCCGGAAAGAAAACUUCGCCGCCAAUACCGGUGGAGGAUGACGGUACCGGAAGAAUAAGCACC
rnacentral:rRNA from 1 species